rnacentral:rRNA from 1 species
UACAGAGGGGGGCAAGCGUUAAUCGGAAUGACUGGGCGUAAAGGGCAUGUAGGCGGAUAGAUGUGUCAAAGGUGAAAUCCCCGGGCUUAACCUGGGAACUGCCUUUGAAACUGUGUAUCUAGAAUAGAGUAGAGGUAAGUGGAAUUUCCGGUGUAGCGGUGAAAUGCGUAGAUAUCGGAAAGAACACCAGUGGCGAAGGCGACUUACUGGACUCAUAUUGACGCUGAGGUGCGAAAGCGUGGGGAGCAAACGGG